rnacentral:ribozyme from 2 species
GCUCUAAUGUGGCUGGCACUAAUCGUUACCAAGUGCCAACGGUUGCAAGCCCGAACAACACAGAGCAGAGC